CNGGAUAUGCAUNCGAGCGCAAGCUUGCAUGCAGCCAUGCCGCGUGUAUGAAGUAAGGCCUUCGGGUUGUAAAGUACUUUCAGCGGGGUAGGAAGGCGAUGNGGUUAAUAACCGCGUCGAUUGACGUUACCCGCAGAAGAAGCACCGGCUAACUCCGUGCCAGCAGCCGCGG
rnacentral:rRNA from 1 species